rnacentral:rRNA from 1 species
AGAGUUUGAUCAUGGCUCAGGACGAACGCUGGCGGCGUGCUUAACACAUGCAAGUCGAACGAGAAGGCGGAGCUUGCUCUGCCGGACAGUGGCGAACGGGUGAGUAACACGUGAGUAACCUGCCCCCGACUCUGGGACAAGCCUGGGAAACUGGGUCUAAUACUGGAUACGCGACGAGAUCGCAUGGUCAUCGUCGGGAAAGAACUUCGGUCAGGGAUGGACUCGCGGCCUAUCAGCUUGUUGGCGGGGUAAUGGCCCACCAAGGCGACGACGGGUAGCCGGCCUGAGAGGGCGACCGGCCACACUGGAACUGAGACACGGUCCAGACUCCUACGGGAGGCAGCAGUGGGGAAUAUUGCACAAUGGGCGCAAGCCUGAUGCAGCAACGCCGCGUGGGGGAUGAAGGCCUUCGGGUUGUAAACCCCUUUCAGCAGGGAAGAAGCGAAAGUGACGGUACCUGCAGAAGAAGCGCCGGCUAACUACGUGCCAGCAGCCGCGGUAAUACGUAGGGCGCAAGCGUUGUCCGGAAUUAUUGGGCGUAAAGAGCUCGUAGGCGGUUUGCUGCGUCUGCUGUGAAAACCCGAGGCUCAACCUCGGGCCUGCAGUGGGUACGGGCAGACUAGAGUGUGGUAGGGGAGACUGGAAUUCCUGGUGUAGCGGUGGAAUGCGCGAUAUCAGGAGGAACACCAAUGGCGAAGGCAGGUCUCUGGGCCACAACUGACGCUGAGGAGCGAAAGCGUGGGGAGCGAACAGGAUUAGAUACCCUAGUAGUCC